rnacentral:rRNA from 1 species
AGGACCGGGAUGGACGAACCGCCUGUAUGCCAGUUAUUCCGCCAGGAGUAUCGCUGGGUAGCGGUGUUCGGAAGAGAUAAACGCUGAAAGCAUCUAAGCGUGAAACUCUCCUCAAGAUAAGGUUUCCCGGGUCGCAAGACCCCCGAAGGACGCAGGAAGACUACCUGCUUGAUAGGCUGCGAGUGUAAGGGCCGCGAGGUCUUAAGCGAAGCAGUACUAAUCGUCCGAGAGUCUUGGCCGUAU